rnacentral:lncRNA from 1 species
GGAAAUUAGCUUUGACUAACAACUAAUAAAAUAAGUUUGAGCAACCAUUCAGCCUGUAUUCAAAUAAGCUUCCAUUCCUAAUACCCCAAACUCAUACAAAUUCAUUUCCAAAACCAUACUACCACAUGCUUGACACCAUUAUGUACCUGUAAGAAACUAUCAAUAGAAUCUGAAAUAAAUGUGCUCAAACGAUUCCAAAUCCAUACUACAGGUCAUAACUCCUAACAAGUACAAAUGAAAAUGCUAUUUACAGACCACUUUCUUACAUACAAUUCCAGGGAUAAACACAAAGAAAGCGCCUACUUAUAUCUGUUUUAGGGCUCAAGCAACUGCAGUCUAGUUAUUAUAGGUUGAAGUGAGUCUUGAAAAUUUGUAAUAUUACAUGGGUUCGAACACUAAGAGUAGAAAUAUAAAUCAAAAGUUGAAUGAAAAUACCAAAGGAGAGGUAACACAUCCAACAACUAAGUAGAUCCCUAUCUCUUCACAUCAUAUGAGCUAAUCUUUACAUAGGCAUCAGAGUGUACCUGGCACUAAGAUGAGAAAAAUAAGUGAGGAACUUGCAACAGGACAACAGCAGAGACAAACAGGAAUGCCCAGAUUAAGGUUAAGAAAUAAGAUGUCACAACUAAUAGAAUUCGACCAAAUUUCCAUAAAACCAGCUUUCAAAACCCAAAUCAAUCCAUAUUAAACACCAGAUUAACCAUGAAGUAUUUCAGGGCUUUGAGAAUUUCAGGACUCAAUGGAACAGUAGAGUCCUAUUCAUUUUCAUAUUUUUUGAUUAUUUUCUCUGUUUAGACUCCUUUUUUCUGAGAUUUUCUAGCUCUUUUUCAACCUACAGAUUUUUUCUUCAGAUUCUUC